CUACGGGAUGCACCAGUGAGGAAUAUUGCGCAAUGGGGGCAACCCUGACGCAGCGACGCCGCGUGGAUGAUGAAGGCCUUCGGGUCGUAAAAUCCUGUCAAGUGGAAAGAAGUGCAUGGUGGUUAAUACCCAUCAUGUUUGACGGUACCACUGAAGGAAGCACCGGCUAACUCCGUGCCAGCAGCCGCGGUAAUACGGAGGGUGCAAGCGUUGUUCGGAAUUACUGGGCGUAAAGCGCGCGUAGGCGGUUUUACAAGUCAGAUGUGAAAGCCCAUGGCUCAACCAUGGACGUGCAUUUGAAACUGUAAGACUUGAGUAUUGGAGGGGGUGGUGGAAUUCCCGGUGUAGAGGUGAUAUUCGUAGAUAUCGGGAGGAAUACCAGUGGCGAAGGCGACCACCUGGCCAAAUACUGACGCUCAUGUGCGAAAGCGUGGGGAGCAAACAGGAUUAGAUACCCCAGUAGUC
rnacentral:rRNA from 1 species